AAGAACAAAAAUGAUUUGUAGCUCGAAAUAAAUGAGCUCAAAUUGCCUGAACACAAGCAAUGACUAUUCUCCCUCCUCAGACUUCAAAAGCAUCUCUCUCUACUCACUCCAAACUCAGACUCCAAAAGCAUCGCUCUUCUCAAACUCCAAAAGCAUUUGAUCCCUUCAUCUCUUCGAAAUCCUCUCAUCCUCUCAUCGCUCUUGUAUCAUCUCAUCUCUCAUCCCUCUAUGAAACAUCCAUCUCUGUGAAAGCAUAGAGAAGGUGCUUAGCUACCGGUGUCGACUCACAGAUAGCGAAGGACGACCAAAAACGCUUCACCUACUGGAUGUGCGAUGUAUCUCAUACAUUAACGAUUCCAGAAAGUAGUUUACCUACCAGAACAAAAGAGUAAUAAGGAAUACUGCAAUUACUUCAAGUUCACAAAUGAUGACGACGACGACGACAUGACCUCCAUAAUCCAUUCCAAUGCUGGACCUUGUAAACCUAUAAGAAUCGAAGAAUUUAACAAUCUAAGAACAAGGCUUUCAGAGAUGGACAAUGAAUUUCAUGAGCAUGAUAGAAGGUUUCGAAAGAUGGAGAAGAAUUUCAAGGCGAUGCUUUAUGUCUUUGUAUUUUGUAUCGUUUCGUACUUUAUAAUGUAAAUUACUGAGUUGUUAGCUUUUGGAGAAUUUCAUGAAUGUAUUUAUGGAUUGAAUGGACUUGAUGGAUUGUGUGUAUGUGUUGUGAUAAAUUGAAUGUGGGUAUAUCAGUAAUGAUAAAACUGUUCUAUUUUCAA